CGCUUCAGUCUUUAGUGGAGCGGCGUGCAGUGUGCUAAGGUCGGCAGGUGCAAAAGCGAAAGGCAGCGCUCGCUGCUGCGGCUGCUGCUGUUGCUGCGAGCUAAUUUGUGUUGCCUACAUUUUGGCGCGCGCGUUUAAGCUGAGUUUAUGUGAAAUGUGACAAACGCAGAGACAGAGUCGCAAUACAAAGAAAGACAGUUACAAAGCCAAAGCGAACGCUAUUUACGGUUCGAAGUUCUUGUUGUUGUCGUUGUUGUUGUUAGUGUGUGUGUGCUGCCUCAGGAGACAUUUAACAUAAUAAAAACGAACGUGUGCGGCAUUCGUUGCUGUUUUUGCCAAGUUUUUGUAGCUGUCUGUGUUGGUUUUGUUUAAUGCUAAUAACACACAGAUACAGCACAAGCACACACACACACACAGUUAGCAGAAACAAUAUUGCAAAUGUGUGCGGCAAAGCAGUUGGCAAAAGUGUCGUAAAUCGUUUAGACGGCAAACGUGGCAAGCGCCCAGAACACGGACACAGGACACAGGCACACACACAGCCAGGACGAUAUGUAAACGACAAUUCCAUCGUGGGAAAAACAUUUUGUAUAUAUUUAUAUACACACACACAUAUAUAUAUAUAUAUAUAUAUAUAGAUGAAUGUAUAUAUGGAUGCUGCCUGCUGAUAGCGACUGCUCCUUUCCUUAGUUCAUGAAAAUACUUCAAAAUGCAUCGAGACUGAAAAUUCACAGGAAAAUCCAAUUGCAAAUAGCAAAUGCGUUCGACGUGGCUCACACUGGCGGAAUGGGAAAUCUCUUUGGGAGAGGCCUCUUCAGCAUAAUUUUAUUUAUUUCUUUUUGGAAAAUGUAUGAAAAUGUUUUAUGUGGCACAACAAUAAAUAUAAAAAUAUUGCAAUAAAUAAA